rnacentral:rRNA from 1 species
CGAUAUCAAUAAGCGGAGGAAAAGAAAAUAACAAUGAUUCCCCUAGUAACUGCGAGUGAAGAGGGACAAGCUCAAAUUUUAAAUCUGUUCGGUUCUACCUGACAGAGUUGUAAUUUAAAGAAACGUUUUCUGUGUCUUGAGUUAAUCAAAAUCCUUUGGAAUGAGGUAUCAUGGAGGGUGACAAUCCCGUUCAUGGUUAAUUCUAAGAUGCUUUAUGAUGCGUUUUCGAAGAGUCGAGUUGUUUGGGAUUGCAGCUCAAAAUGGGAGGUAAAUUUCUCCUAAGGCUAAAUAUUGGCGAGAGACCGAUAGCGAACAAGUACCGUGAGGGAAAGAUGAAAAGAACUUUGAAAAGAGAGUUAAACAGUACGUGAAAUUGUUGAAAGGGAAACGAUUGAAGUCAGUCGUACCAGCGGGAAAUCAACCUUUCGAGUGGGGUUUUGGAGUUUUGAAGUGUGUCAAAACCUUGAAGAUUUCAAAAUGUUCGCUCUUUUGGUGUACUUUCUCGCAGGUAGGUUAACAUCGAUUUUGAUUCAUCAUAAAAGGAUUGGAGGAAUGUAGCUUCGAUCUCGUAUUGAAGUGUUAUAGCCUUUGGUAAAUGUGAUGAUUAGGAUCGAGGAUUGCAACGAAUACCCUUUUGGGCUAUCCGCCUGAUCUCUGAUACGUGACCUUGGUAUUGAAAGCGUGCUUAUGAUAUUAAGGUAUUACGGUCAAAAGGUUAGAACGGAUUACAUUCGUUAAGGAUGUUGACGUA